rnacentral:rRNA from 1 species
GGGUCAGUAGGUCGGUCGUGCCACCGGUACGUACUGGUCUCACUGAUUCCUCCUCCCUGAAGAACCGUAAUGCCAUUAAUUUGGUGUUGCGGGGAAACAGGACUGUUACUUUGAAAAAAUUAGAGUGUUUAAAGCAAGCUAACGCUUGAAUACAUUAGCAUGGAAUAAUGAAAUAGGACGAUCGAUCCUAUUUUGUUGGUUUCUAGGAUUGACGUA